UCUGCUCAAAGCCAUUUCUACAGUGUUGAGCAGUGUUCUGGGACCUCUCUACCUGCUCACUUACAGGGAAGAAAAGGUGAAGGGCAAGCCGGGUUCCAUGCCUUGAACUAGCACAUCUGUGUUCAUCUGUGCACAUCCGUCGCUUCCUUCCAUCCCUCACUGUUUCCGGAACUGGACGCCGCCCUGCUGAGGCGGUGCUGAGCGCUAACAUGACCGCCUCCUUGUUGGCUCGGUACAGCAUACCACUGGACCUCUGCGGUCAGUGCUCUGCGGAGGCCAGCCAAUGCCCUAGCAGCCUGCCCCAGGGACCGCAGUGCUAGCCAGUGGCCAUGAAGAGUUUCCUGGCACCGUUGGACUUUCAGUCAGUGAGUCGAGUAGCAGUGGAAAUGAAUGGCAAUGGGGAUUGUUAAAUGGUCACUUCUUUGAGAUACAUCAGUGGUAGGAGUGUGCAAAUUAAGAUUUCUCCUGCGACACCAAGAAACUGGGAAAGUUAUUUAAUCACAUCCCUAAGUAAUUAGAAGCUCCAUGCCUUCAUUAAGAACCCAAAAUAAUGCUUGCACCAUGUGCAGGUAAAUGACAGCAGGGACAUGCAAAAGUUGUUUCCUAGUUCAGACUCAGAAAAAUGUCAUUUUUAUUGGUUGAAGAGAAAAAAUUCCCAUAAUAAUUUUGUGAUAAUGUUCUCAUUAAGAGCUGUGAGGGAACUCGAGAAGCCCAGAGCUCUCAUAAAGUGUCCUGUUAUUUCCAUAUCCUCCUCAAAACCGUUUUAUCAUAAAACUAACAAAAUGCUCAGCCCUUUUAUCUGGGGAUUCUCAGUGACAUUAAACACAUUCAGAUGAGCCUCAUGCCAAAAAUAUUGUAUGUCCAGAAAUCUACAUAGCUUGCAUUUGAUAAGUUUUAUUCAAAGAAACUACAUCUAAGUUACUUUGGAGGUUGGUUUGUAAAGCAGUGCAGAGGUAUAGGAGAAUAAGUUCAUCUUCUAACCAUUCUUUAAUGAGAGGUAAUUGUCCACUCAACCACUGGUGAUGGUCUCUUGUUCCAUCUCUGCUAGGAUGAGCCUCUGAUACAGAUGCUGCAUUCUACACAACCUUGACAAAGUCUUCCAUUUGAGUGGAAAUAGAAAGGUGACUCAUUCCCCUUCCAAAUAUGUUCUGAGCUCCUGCUAGGCACAAGCCCUUGGAUAAGUACUGAAGGGGAUACAGCAUUGAAUCACUUGCAAAACCUGACUUCAUGAGUUUAUGCUCUGGUAGAAGAGAUAAAGCAAGAUCCUCAACACUGAUAAUACAAGAUGGAGAGAGGGGGGUACUUGUAAAUGCCUAAAAGACUUCUGGAAGACUAUAGAAGACACUGUUAAAGUUGCGUGGGAAAAGUGGUUGGGGUCCAGGAGAGAGAGAUUAUAUCAUCCAACGACAGCAGAAUACUAGGCCACAAGCACACCUUAACAAAUUUGAAAGAAUAGAAGUAAACAAUGUAUACUCUUAGAUCAAAAUGAAAUUAACUAGAAAGCAGUAACAAAAGAUAACUGGAAAAUCCCAAACAAUGUGAAGAUUAAACAACACACUUUUCAAUAAUACAUGGAAUAAGGAAUCACAAGAAAUUUAAAAAUAUUUUGAAUUAAAUGAAAAUGAAAACCAAUUUAUCAAAAUUUGUGGAAUAUAAUGAAAAUAGCUACUUGAGGGAAAUUUAUACCAUUAAAUGCCUAUGUUAGAAAAGGAGAAAGAUCUAAAAUCAAUAAUCUAAGUUUCCACCUUAG